UGCAAGUCGAGGGGCAGCAUUUUAGUUUGCUUGCAAACUAAAGAUGGCGACCGGCGCACGGGUGAGUAACACGUAUCCAACCUGCCGAUAACUCGGGGAUAGCCUUUCGAAAGAAAGAUUAAUAUCCGAUGGUAUAUUAAAACCGCAUGGUUUUACUAUUAAAGAAUUUCGGUUAUCGAUGGGGAUGCGUUCCAUUAGUUUGUUGGCGGGGUAACGGCCCACCAAGACUACGAUGGAUAGGGGUUCUGAGAGGAAGGUCCCCCACAUUGGAACUGAGACACGGUCCAAACUCCUACGGGAGGCAGCAGUGAGGAAUAUUGGUCAAUGGACGAGAGUCUGAACCAGCCAAGUAGCGUGAAGGAUGACUGCCCUAUGGGUUGUAAACUUCUUUUAUAUGGGAAUAAAGUAUUCCNACGUGUGGGAUUUUGUAUGUACCAUAUGAAUAAGGAUCGGCUAACUCCGUGCCAGCAGCCGCGGUAAUACGGAGGAUCCGAGCGUUAUCCGGAUUUAUUGGGUUUAAAGGGAGCGUAGGUGGAUUGUUAAGUCAGUUGUGAAAGUUUGCGGCUCAACCGUAAAAUUGCAGUUGAAACUGGCAGUCUUGAGUACAGUAGAGGUGGGCGGAAUUCGUGGUGUAGCGGUGAAAUGCUUAGAUAUCACGAAGAACUCCGAUUGCGAAGGCAGCUCACUAGACUGCAACUGACACUGAUGCUCGAAAGUGUGGGUAUCAAACAGGAUUAGAUACCCUGGUAGUCCACACAGUAAACGAUGAAUACUCGCUGUUUGCGAUAUACAGUAAGCGGCCAAGCGAAAGCAUUAAGUAUUCCACCUGGGGAGUACGCCGGCAACGGUGAAACUCAAAGGAAUUGACGGGGGCCCGCACAAGCGGAGGAACAUGUGGUUUAAUUCGAUGAUACGCGAGGAACCUUACCCGGGCUUAAAUUGCAUUUGAAUAAUCUGGAAACAGGUUAGCCGCAAGGCAAAUGUGAAGGUGCUGCAUGGUUGUCGUCAGCUCGUGCCGUGAGGUGUCGGCUUAAGUGCCAUAACGAGCGCAACCCUUAUCUUUAGUUACUAACAGGUCAUGCUGAGGACUCUAGAGAGACUGCCGUCGUAAGAUGUGAGGAAGGUGGGGAUGACGUCAAAUCAGCACGGCCCUUACGUCCGGGGCUACACACGUGUUACAAUGGGGGGUACAGAAGGCAGCUACCUGGCGACAGGAUGCUAAUCCCAAAAACCUCUCUCAGUUCGGAUCGAAGUCUGCAACCCGACUUCGUGAAGCUGGAUUCGCUAGUAAUCGCGCAUCAGCCAUGGCGCGGUGAAUACGUUCCCGGGCCUUGUACACACCGCCCGUCAAGCCAUGAAAGCCGGGGGUACCUGAAGUACGUAACCGCAAGGAGC
rnacentral:rRNA from 1 species